GCGUGGGAGCUAACAGUCUCAGGUAUGUCGCGCUCGCGUCGACCCCUGGCCGGAUCAGGACUACUGUCACCUUCCUGGAGCUUCGUGUGUUGAAGUCCUGUUAUCACCCGGACUGUCUCAGCAGGUUCACCUGAGAAGAAGCACCGGCUGGACAGGUGGAGCAGGACCGGCUGCAUUCCACUGUGCACUUAUGCAUCCGCCCGUGGCCACAGAAAACUAACCCAGGUGCCCUGUGUUAGUGUCUCAGUGACACCUACAGGUCCAGAUGUAAGAACAGAACUCACAGAGGUCAUCGAUACCAUUUUUGUGCCUUCUUUCUCAGGGAG